rnacentral:rRNA from 1 species
AUCCGAAUUCUGGGUGCCAGCAGCCGCGGUAAUUCCAGCUCCAAUAGCGUAUAUUAAAGUUGUUGUGGUUAAAAAGCUCGUAGUUGAACUUUGGGCCUGGCUGCCCGGUCCGCCUCACCGCGUGCACUGGUCCGGCCGGGCCUUUCCCUCUGCGGAACCCCAUGCCCUUCACUGGGUGUGGCGGGGAAACAGGACUUUUACUUUGAAAAAAUUAGAGUGCUCAAGGCAGGCCUAUGCUCGAAUACAUUAGCAUGGAAUAAUAGAAUAGGACGUGUGGUUCUAUUUUGUUGGUUUCUAGGACCGCCGUAAUGAUUAAUAGGGACAGUCGGGGGCAUCAGUAUUCAAUUGUCAGAGGUGAAAUUCUUGGAUUUAUUGAAGACUAACUACUGCGAAAGCAUUUGCCAAGGAUGUUUUCAUUAAUCAGGAACGAAAGUUAGGGGAUCGAAGACGAUCAGAUACCGUCGUAGUCUUAACCAUAAACUAUGCCGACUAGGGAUCGGACGAUGUUACAUUUUUGACGCGUUCGGCACCUUACGAGAAAUCAAAGUGCUUGGGCUCCAGGGGGAGUAUGGUCGCAAGGCUGAAACUUAAAGAAAUUGACGGAAGGGCACCACCAGGGGUGGAGCCUGCGGCUUAAUUUGACUCAACACGGGGAAACUCACCAGGUCCAGACACAAUGAGGAUUGACAGAUUGAGAGCUCUUUCUUGAUUUUGUGGGUGGUGGUGCAUGGCCGUUCUUAGUUGGUGGAGUGAUUUGUCUGCUUAAUUGCGAUAACGAACGAGACCUUAACCUGCUAAAUAGCCCGUAUUGCUUUGGCAGUACGCCGGCUUCUUAGAGGGACUAUCGGCUCAAGCCGAUGGAAGUUUGAGGCAAAUAACAGGUCAGUAAUGCCCCUCUAGAUGACUCG